AUUGAACGCUGGCGGCAUGCCUUACACAUGCAAGUCGAACGGCAGCACGGGAGCAAUCCUGGUGGCGAGUGGCGAACGGGUGAGUAAUAUAUCGGAACGUGCCCAGUCGUGGGGGAUCACGCAGCGAAAGCUGUGCUAAUACCGCAUACGAUCUAUGGAUGAAAGCGGGGGAUCGCAAGCCCUCCCGCGAUUGGAGCGGCCGAUAUCAGAUUAGGUAGUUGGUGGGGUAAAGGCUCACCAAGCCGACGAUCUGUAGCUGGUCUGAGAGGACGACCAGCCACACUGGAACUGAGACACGGUCCAGACUCCUACGGGAGGCAGCAGUGGGGAAUUUUGGACAAUGGGCGCAAGCCUGAUCCAGCAAUGCCGCGUGCAGGAUGAAGGCCUUCGGGUUGUAAACUGCUUUUGUACGGAACGAAAGGGCUCUGGUUAAUACCUGGGGCAUAUGUCGGUACCGUAAGAAUAAGCACCGGCUAACUACGUGCCAGCCGCCGCUGUAA
rnacentral:rRNA from 1 species